GGCAGUCGAGGGGUAACGAUACUUUCGGGUAGUCGACGACCGGCGCACGGGUGAGUAACGCGAUAUGCAACCUACCCAUUGCUGGAGCAUAGGCCGAAGAAAUUCGGAUUAAUACUCCAUAAUAUCAUUAGAUCACAUGCUUCUUAUGAUUAAAGUUCCGGCGGCAAUGGAUGGGCAUGCGUGACAUUAGUUUGUUGGUGAGGUAACGGCUCACCAAGACUUUGAUGUCUAGGGGGUCUUAAAGGAUGAUCCCCCACACUGGUACUGAGACACGGACCAGACUCCUACGGGAGGCAGCAGUGAGGAAUAUUGGUCAAUGGGCGAAAGCCUGAACCAGCCAAUCCGCGUGCAGGAUGACGGCCCUAUGGGUUGUAAACUGCUUUUAUACGGGAAGAACUCCCUGACGUGUCAGGGGCUGACGGUACCGUAUGAAUAAGCAUCGGCUAACUCCGUGCCAGCAGCCGCGGUAAUACGGAGGAUGCAAGCGUUAUCCGGAUUUAUUAGGUUUAAAGGGUGCGUAGGCGGAAUGGUCAGUCAGUGGUGAAAUCCUACAGCUUAACUGUAGAACUGCCAUUGAUACUGCUAUUCUUGAGUUCAGUUGAGGUAGGCGGAAUGUGUAGUGUAGCGGUGAAAUGCUUAGAUAUUUCACAGAACACCGAUUGCGAAGGCAGCUUACUAAACUGACACUGACGCUGAGGCACGAAAGCGUGGGGAGCGAACAGGAUUAGAUACCCUGGUAGUCCACGCCGUAAACGAUGAUCACUCGUUGUAUGCUUAUAUUUAGUAUGCGACCGAGCGAAAGUAUUAAGUGAUCCACCUGGG
rnacentral:rRNA from 1 species